rnacentral:rRNA from 1 species
CCCUUAGAUGUCCUGGGCUGCACGCGCGCCACACUGGAAGUUACGGAUUGAGAUACUACCUUGUCCGAAAUGGUCCGGGUAAUCACCUAAAAGCUUGUCAUAAUUGGAAUGGAUUAUUGUAACUAGUAAUCCUGAACGAGGAAUUCCUAGUAAGUCCCAGUCAACAGCUGGUACUGAUUACGUCCCUGCCCUUUGUACACACCGCCCGUCGCUACUACUGAUUGGACGUUUAAGCAAGAUUUUUAAACACUGACAGUGUGUAGUUCACGCUAUACUACAGUGAGAAGAAGAAGAUCGAGCUUACUUGUCUAGAGGAAGUAAAAGUCGUAACA